UUUUUUUGUUAAGCCUUAAAACUACAUUGUUUUGAUUAAAUAAUACUUUUUCAAGGGGUUAUGUCACUUAUGAAGGGUCACUAAUUUCUUUUAUUAAUAGAUAGGAGGGGCAUCUAUUUAAUUCAUUCAAAUCAUCAAAGCAUUCUAAGUGUUCAAGUCUUUAUUAUUUCAUAAACAGUUCAUAAUUUAAGUGAAAGAGAGUUUAGAGCAUUUCUUUUAAUUCGUUGUGUAUGCUAGCAUGAUUAUGAAGCACUUGCAUAAAAACAU
rnacentral:lncRNA from 1 species